AUGAGCCACCACUCGUCAGGCCGGAGCAGCAGGCGCUGCACAGAGCUGGGCCCGGGGAUCGCGAGAAGGGGACAGUUUAGACAUUCUGAGUCGGGCCCCACCUUGUACAUACUGGUUCCCUCCAUCUUCAUCGACAUCAGCCAGGACUGGCGGCUGUGGUGUUUUGUCAGCUGGGUGUGUUACGAACGGGAGGUGACCCUGCUGGGAGCGAUGGAUCCAGGACCUGUGCACAAGAGUGGUGCUGAGGAUUGGCAGUGCCCACUUCUAUGCCAUCGUGGUAUCCCAAGGGUUACUUUGUCCAGAACACAGACUUUGACUUCUUCAACUAUGCGGGACUGCAGCGGUCUGUGCUUCUGUACACGACACCCACCACCUAUAUCAACAUCACCGUCACCACCAGUGUGGAGCGAGACAGUGGUGAGAGCUUCUGUGUCAACAAGCAUGAGGAUGCAGGCGUGCACUGGGGCUCCUGGGUCCUCGUGGGGGCUGCUUCUGGUCACCUUCCACUUUCGCCUUCCCUGUGUCCCGCAGUUCAGGGCAAUGAGGCAAAUGAGCUUCCCUGUGGCAGCUAAGGGUAAUGAGGCAAAUGGCUCCAAACCACCCUGCUGUGGAGCUGGUGGUUGGGCUGGAGAAGGGGGCUCAUCGGGUGGCUUUCCAGGGACCUGGCUCUUGGAGGGGUCCUGGCUCUUGGAGGAAGUGCAGCUUUGACAGGGAUGGGUCACUUGACUGCUGUCCCCUAGAUCUGAGGGAGGGACUUCGACUGUCUGCUGCUGGUGAAGGACUUCAACCUGCUUCACUGGCUUGGUGCCAACGCCUUCCGCACCAGCCACUAUCCCUGCACAGAGGAGGUGCUGCAGAUGUGUGACCAGUAUGGGAUUGUGGUCAUUGAUGAGUGUCCCACUGUGGGCCUGAUGCUGCUAUGAGUCCCCACCACGCAGCUGCUCUGCCUGGCCAGCCUGCGGGCCACACUGUGACCCUCCGUCCCUUCCCUCCUGGCCCCCUGGCAGCUCUUCAACAAUGUGUCUGUACAUCACUACGUGUGGGUGAUGGAAGAACUGGUGCACAGAGACAAGAAUCACCCUGCCGUGGUGAUGUGGUCUGGCCAGGAGCCUGCCUCCUACCUGGAAUCUGCCGGCUACUACAUCAAGUGAGUGUCCCCUGCCUACCCUGGGCUGGAUCGCGAAGGAGAUCCUGGCAGGUGGCAGACUGGGGUAGGCGUGUGCUAUCCGAGAUCAGCGUCCUGUCCCAGCCCAAUGGGAGGGCCGUCCAUACCCAGACAGUUCAGGGAACCAGAUAUCUACCUCCCCAAAUUGUGGUUUUCUUUUUCUGUGUU
rnacentral:lncRNA from 1 species